AAUCAGAGCAGAGUAAAGUAGACCAAUCACAACAGACUGGGCCAUCUGACCAAUCAGAGCAGAGUAGACCAAUCACAACAGACUGGGUCAUCUGACCAAUCAGAGCAGAGUAAACCAUCUGACCAAUCAGAGCAGAGUAGACCAAUCACAACAGACUGGACCAUCUGACCAAUCAGAGCAGAGUAGACCAAUCACAACAGACUGGGUCAUCUGACCAAUCAGAGCAGAGUAAACCAUCUGACCAAUCAGAGCAGAGUAGACCAAUCACAACAGACUGGACCAUCUGACCAAUCAGAGCAGAGUA